rnacentral:rRNA from 1 species
GGGUCCUACGGGGGGCAGCAGUGAGGAAUAUUGGUCAAUGGGAGGAAUCCUGAAUCAGCCAUGCCGCGUGCAGGACGACGGCUCUACGAGUUGUAAACUGCUUUUGUACCGGGGUAAAAUGCUCUACGAGUAGGGUUUUGAAAGUACGGUACGAAUAAGGAUCGGCUAACUCCGUGCCAGCAGCCGCGGUAAUACGGAGGAUCCGAGCGUUAUCCGGAUUCAUUGGGUUUAAAGAGUGCGUAGGUUGUUUUAUAAGUUAGCGGUGAAAUACCGAUGCUCACCAUCGGGGCUGCCGCUGAUACUGU